rnacentral:rRNA from 1 species
AUUGAACGCUGGCGGCAGGCCUAACACAUGCAAGUCGAAUGGUAACAGGAAACAGCUUGCUGUUUCGCUGACGAGUGGCGGACGGGUGAGUAAUGUCUGGGAAACUGCCUGAUGGAGGGGGAUAACUACUGGAAACGGUAGCUAAUACCGCAUAACGUCGCAAGACCAAAGAGGGGGACCUUCGGGCCUCUUGCCAUCAGAUGUGCCCAGAUGGGAUUAGCUAGUAGGUGGGGUAACGGCUCACCUAGGCGACGAUCCCUAGCUGGUCUGAGAGGAUGACCAGCCACACUGGAACUGAGACACGGUCCAGACUCCUACGGGAGGCAGCAGUGGGGAAUAUUGCACAAUGGGCGCAAGCCUGAUGCAGCCAUGCCGCGUGUAUGAAGAAGGCCUUCGGGUUGUAAAGUACUUUGAGCGGGGAGGAAGGUAGUAAAGUUAAUACCUUUGCUCAUUGACGUUACCCGCAGAAGAAGCACCGGCUAACUCCGUG